rnacentral:lncRNA from 1 species
UGGCCUGAGAGUAGCCACUUGUCCGCAAUCACAGGGACGUUUUAUGCCUGUCAAGGGAGCUUCCUCUCUCCUCUUCCUCCCCCUCCCACCUUCUGCCUGGCAGCUUUGCCUUCUCUCCAAGAGAAGGGUCCACCCAAUCAGAACUCCUCUUCCUUUUCAUUCCUGGAUUAAAGCACUUGUAAUCAGUAACCAGAAAGUUCCAGAGCGGGAGAGACCGGAAGGCACUGGAGUGCUAUCGGACGGGUGUCUGGGGCAGAGCCAGGAGGGCGAGCCUCUUCUCUCCCCGCCUGCCCUUGCUCACUUCCCCCUCCAUGCCAGGUGCUGUGGGAGCAGCUGGGCCUGGCCGGGGUCGGCGGGUGAAGCUAUCCGCAUGGUGUCUGGAGCACCGUUUCUUUGCUUCCUGGAUGGGCUGGAUGGGCUCCCGUGUUCUUCACCAAUGGCAGCGUUACCAGCACCAAUGGCAGCGUUACCAGCAAGAAGGCAAAGGCAGGAGCACAUCGAGGGUGGGAGCCAGGGCUGUGGGGUCAGGAGUCCCGCUCCUUGCCGCGGGAAGCCUGGCUCAGCCACCUCCAGCACACUUCGGCUUUGUCCAGCAUAAAAGGCAGAGCGACGUUUUCACUGCAGGCUGUUUCCCACCAGGGCAAGUGGGACAGGGCGAGUGCUGACGUCUGCAGGCAUGGUGUGCAUUUAGGGGUGGGCGGCACCGAGGGGGCAUCAUUUGGCAUAGGCGGGCCCGGGGGCCACUGGGCUAGAUGACUGGCUGGUUGCUGGGGGCAGGUGUCACAGCCUCUCUGAGCACCCUCUAAGUGGAGGACAGAACAUUGUUGGGAGGAGUCCAGGCAUAAAGUGACAUAAACAGCGCAGAGAAUGGGACCAGCGCACCUGAGAGGUGAUCAUUAGCCUCAGCAACUGGAUGGGACAUUCCGAAGAGCUCCCAGCCAACACAGAUGGUCACUCCAGAGGCUGACAUUUAAAAGGAAGGGGCCCGGCCGGGCACAGUGGCUCACGCCUGUAAUCACAACACUUUGGGAGGCUGAGGCGGGCAGAUCAACUGGGGUCAGGAGUUCAAAACCAGCCUGGCCAACAUGGUGAAACCGCAUCUCUGCUGAAAAUACAAAAAAUUAGCCAGGCAUGGUGGUGGGCACCUGUAAUCCCAGCUACUCAGGAGGCUGAGGUAGGAGGAUCGCUUGAACCCAGGAAGUAGAGGUUGCAGUGAGCCGAGAUUGUGCCAUUGCACUCCAGCCUGGGCGACAAGCGAAACUUCGUCUCAAAAUAAAUAAAAGUAAGGGGCACAGGGAGGGGGCCCCAGCUCGUGCCCCUUCUGUGUGGGCUGCACAUGGUGACUUCCUUCCAGAGAGCACAGAGUGGGAGGUAGGCAAGGCGUCUCCACAGUGGAGAGCCCGACCCACUGUCUCAGCCCAGAGGUCAAGGCUGGCACCAUCACCGAGAGGUCACACGGGCAGAUGUGACAGGGCGCUUCACCACUGGGCUCUUCCUCCCAGACCCAUAACCCUUGUCUUAGUAUUAGAAAAACACUGGCAGACCGGGCGCAGUGGCUUACACCUGUAAUCGCAGCAUUUUGGGAGGCCGAGGUGGGAAGAUUGUUCAAGAGCAGUCUGGGCAACAUGGUGAGACCCCAUCUCUACAAAAAAAAUUUUUUUUUUAAUUAGCCAGGCGUGAUGGCACAUGCCUGUGGUCCUAGCCACUAGAGGCUGAGGUGGGAGGAUCACUGGAGCCCAGGAGGUCAAGGCUGCAGUGAGCUGUGAUCACACCACUGCACUCCAGCCUUGGCGACAAACCAAGACCCUGUCUCG